AGAAGAAGGAGUAAGAGCUCUUUGGAAGGGAGUUGGACCUGCUUUAGCUAGAGCUGGCACUUUGACUGCAUCUCAGUUGGCCACAUAUGAUGAAUCUAAGCAGGCACUAAUAAAGUAUACUCCCCUGGAGGAGGGAUUUCACCUUCAUCUCAUCUCAAGUACCAUCGCAGGGUCAGUAAGCACAGUUAUGACAGCACCAAUGGACAUGGUUAAAACCCGUCUUAUGUUGCAGAGAGAAUCAAAUUGUGCCGGACUGUACAGAAAUGGAUUGCACUGUGCAUAUCAGGUACUCCGCACUGAAGGUCCUUCUGGUCUUUACAAAGGUGGCUUUGCAAUAUUUGCAAGAUUGGCUCCACAAACCAUGAUUACUUUU
rnacentral:misc_RNA from 1 species